rnacentral:lncRNA from 1 species
UAAAAUAGUCCCCUGGUGUGUUAAAAGCAUGUCUGUGACGUCCUUCGGUCAAAAUUCGAUUUGGAUCAAUUAUUUUAGUGCACUUUUUAUCAGCUAAAAACAGCUCCGCUCAAAAUCCUCCGUUUUGGGCCAUGUCUCUUUAAUGAAAUGAGCUGCACCUAAGCCACGUCCACUUUACACCCAUCUCUCUGGAAGGGGCUGUGGCUGUGCUCCGAUAGCCAUGUGCUAAUGUUUACACUGGCUCGGUCAUGGCUGCAAGAAGAUCGUUCGUACAACCCUACCAGUUUGAGCCAGAGUCUGACCCAGAGGGAGAGGCUCCGGAAGAAAC